UCCGAGUUGACCCCGGCAGUCUCCCAUGAGUCCCCGCCAUAACGCGCUGGCAACAUGGAACGAGGGUUGCGCUCGUUGCGGGACUUAACCCAACAUCUCACGACACGAGCUGGCGACAGCCAUGCACCACCUGUGUAGGGCCCCGAAGGACACCGUGUCUCCACGGCUUUUCCCUACAUGUCAAGCCCAGGUAAGGUUCUUCGCGUUGCGUCGAAUUAAACCACAUGCUCCACCGCUUGUGCGGGCCCCCGUCAAUUCCUUUGAGUUUUAAUCUUGCUACCGUACUCCCCAGGCGGAAUGCUUAAAGCGUUAGCUGCGCCACUAGUGAGUAAACCCACUAACGGCUGGCAUUCAUCGUUUACGGCGUGGACUAC
rnacentral:misc_RNA from 1 species